UACGUAGGGGGCAAGCGUUGUCCGGAAUCAUUGGGCGUAAAGCGCACGUAGGCGGAUCUUUAAGUCAGGGGUGAAAUCCCGAGGCUCAACCUCGGAACUGCCUUUGAUACUGGGGAUCUCGAGUCCGGGAGAGGUGAGUGGAACUGCGAGUGUAGAGGUGAAAUUCGUAGAUAUUCGCAAGAACACCAGUGGCGAAGGCGGCUCACUGGCCCGGAACUGACGCUGAGGUGCGAAAGCGUGGGGAGCAAACAGGG
rnacentral:rRNA from 1 species